rnacentral:tRNA from 1 species
GUCCCGAUAGUAUAAGCAUUACGCUGGUCUUGUAAACCAGAAAUGAAAUUUCACUUUUCUCAGGACA